UGAGCAAAUCUGCCCUUCUCAUCGGAAUAAGCGUUGGAAACGACGUCUAAUGCCGAAUACGACCUCCUUUCGCAUGAUCGGAGGUGGAAAGCUCCGGCGGAGAAGGAUGAGCUCGCGGCCUAUCAGCAAGUUGGUGUGGGUAAUGGCCCACCAAGGCGACGACGGGUAGCCGGCCUGAGAGGGUGACCGGCCACACGUGGGACUGGGACACGGCCCAGACUCCUACGGGAGGNAG
rnacentral:rRNA from 1 species